UACGUAGGGUGCAAGCGUUGUCCGGAAUUAUUGGGCGUAAAGAGCCCGUAGGCGGUUUGUCGCGUCUGCUGUGAAAACUCGGGGCUUAACUCCGGGCCUGCAGUGGGUACGGGCAGACUAGAGUGCGGUAGGGGAGACUGGAAUUCCUGGUGUAGCGGUGAAAUGCGCAGAUAUCAGGAGGAACACCGGUGGCGAAGGCGGGUCUCUGGGCCGUAACUGACGCUGAGGAGCGAAAGCGUGGGGAGCGAACAGG
rnacentral:rRNA from 1 species